rnacentral:lncRNA from 1 species
UCGCCUUGCGUGCAGUAUUGUAUUAUUUGGUGUUAAGAUCUCACACACAUGACGUUUCUUACCUGCAUACGGUGAUGUUUUCCCACCAUUUGGGUGGUGGUGAGGUUCCGUCUACAUGCGCGUUGCAUAAUUGAUUAUAUUCAGAUGUCUUUUAUAAUUUCAAAAAAGGAUUGUAUUUUACUUUUUUUUUCUUUUUUUUCUCUUAUUCUUCUACAUGAUAAAACUAUAAUGAAUUCAACAAUUCGAUUUUCAAUGUUUGUGCAUGCGCGAAUGAAUGUAAAGCGCUUUAUAAUUAGAAAAAGUGGAAUUCUUUUUGCAGGUGAGAAUCAUUUUAUUUUUUUCACUUUUUCGGCUCAGGCAAUGCUAUUAAGU